GAACGGAGGAGGGAGAAGCAGAGUGGGUGCCAAGAUGCAGAAGUUAACAAAGCGAAUCGGUCCCAAAUACGUAAAAAUUGCCAGAAUCUGGAUCCCCAAUAUUAUCGGAUGGGGUGCAGUGGCUGUGGCCAUUUUACAGACUGACGGAUUUACAGAUUGAUUCUGGAUUAUGUUCCCUUCGUUCGAGGCAAAUUCAAGAAGGACGGCUAGCUAUCAGACCCUGAAUAUUGGACCUACAGAAAGCAAGUGUACAUUCCUAAAUAAUAAGUAUAGCUGAUGGCUUGUGUUGCCAGGAGGCGGCGCUGGUGAUGCAAUAUGAACCUAUAACACUGAACAGGACAAUCUGAUCUGUCAUUUUAACGUGAUAAUUCACCCCCCAAAAAAGAAAAUAUACUCAACUAUU